rnacentral:rRNA from 1 species
AUGGAACUGCCGAGGGGGAACCGCCGGACAGUUCGUGAAGUGUUGGCCCUCACCAAAGAAAACAACCCCAAACUGGUUUUCCUGUGUGAGACCAAACAAACUGCUAACAAGGUGGAGAAGAUGCGAUGGAGGCUCGGCUUCAAGGGUUUUCAUGGCGUUGAGAGUAACGGGAGAAGUGGGGGUUUAGCUCUCUUCUGGCAUGAGUCUUUCAUAGUGACAGUUCUUGAAGCUUGCAACCAAUUCAUUGAUGUCCGUGUUCUGGAGGUUGGUUCUGGCAUAUCUUAG